rnacentral:rRNA from 1 species
UACGUAGGGGCUAGCGUUGUCCGGAAUCAUUGGGCGUAAAGAGCGUGUAGGCGGUCCGGUAAGUCCGCUGUGAAAGUCGGGGGCUCAACCCUCGAAUGCCGGUGGAUACUGUCGGGCUAGAGUGCGGAAGAGGCGAGUGGAAUUCCUGGUGUAGCGGUGAAAUGACGCAGAUAUCAGGAGGAACACCUAUGCGAAGGCAGCUCGCUGGGACGUAACUGACGCUGAGACGCGAAAGCGUGGGGGAGCAAACAGG